AAGAAGAAGGAGGAGGAAGAGGAGGAGGAGGAGAGAGAAAGGAAGAAGAAGAAAAAAAAAGCACAGAGGAAGGGAAAGAUAUGUGACAGCUGAGGCUCAGCGAGUGGGCGGUGAGUGCAGAAGGGGCAGGACCUGGAGUUGGCUGUGCUGUUCGCUGCAGCUUGUCUCCUCUCAUUAGGAAGUGCCAAUCAGACUGCAAACCACUUCCAAGCUGAAGAAGAAAGUGAAAAAAAAGAAAAAAAAGGCGAAAGUAAAAAAAAAAAAAAAAAGUUAGUUUUCCCUUUUUUUUCUAAAAGAAAAGAAAAAGCUACCACUAAUCCACCUCCCCUCUCCCCACUCCUCCUCUCUCUCCCUCCCUCCCUGCCAUCGCUUCGCCAUCUGCUAAGCAUUAAUUGUCGCGCGUCUCUCUCCGUAGGCUGCGGACGGCGGCGCAGACACACAAUGCAUAUGUUCUGACUGCCAGCAGAUGCUGUCCAAGCUCAUCUCUGCUGCGUGAAGAAGGAGAAAAAGAAAAAAAGAUGGAGGGUCCUUUGGUUGCUAGGAGACCGCUGCACUGAAGAACAGUCUGGGCUGAGGAUGCUCUACCCGUUUUCUCACCUUCCCCUCCUAGCGCAGGUCACGAUUCAUCUGAAAUGGGGACACAAAUAGCACUCGGCGGGAAGGCAUCACCGUGGCACUGGUUAUAAAGUUAUUAGGUGAUGUCGUGAUGACACGCUAAAGGCAGAAUCUUCUUAAAGAGACUGAAGCAUCGAGGUUUUCUAAUUGAGAUCCAACAUCUCAUUUGCAUGGGAGACCUGUUGAGGCUUCACCUCUUGUUUUAAAAAGUAUCUGACUUUAUUUAUUCAAAGUCCAACUCAACAUCCUGUUGGUCCAGGAUUUAAAAUUAACUCUAGAAAAACAACAACAACAAAAAAACAACAUACAAAAGACAGCCUUGUUUUUUGAGAAUCUUUGGAAAAUAAUAUCUCUGUAAUUGCCGCAGGUCUAUGCAUUGCUGUGGCAAAUACGCAAGUAUUAAACCCAUUUGUGAAUGGAGAUCAAUAUGUACCGCCGUACAGGAAAUCAGGACGACUCCUCCGACCCGUGUCAGCACUUUGAGUGGCAGCCUCCCUGCAUGCAGCCGGAUCAAUUAAACCGGCCUGCAGAGCAGAGCGGCUUCCUUUGCAGCUAAUCUCAAGAAGGGCGAAUUACGAGCCUGAGAGAUUAACAAGUCGGAUGGUGUGUGGGAGAGAGUGUUUAUAUGCGUUUGCCUGAUGACCCGAACACAUGGAUGGCUGCAGAUACGGAGGGCAACAGAGCAGAGAGCGUCAACCCCCCAACG